CCCGAGGGCCCGGCCCUAGUUAUCCUCAGGCCGCCCCCCGCCACUAGCCCGGCCAGGAGCGAGCACGAGGUGGUGCAGCAACAGGGAAGGUGGAGCGGGUGUUUUCUUCCUCUGGUUUUCAUUUUUUUUCCUUCCUUGGUGAGACAUCGGAGGAAAUGCUGACUGUGAGCUUUUCUUUCCUGCCAUGUCUCCGGCUACCACCACCACAAGGAACUUUGCUUCUGGCUAACCUUCGUCCUGGGGGGUGCUCCGGGAAACUUUGAGGAGCCCUCGGACCUCUCUGGCUUUUUUGCACGGAGGUGGGGGGGGGGGUGGGCUCGGGAGGGAGCGUGCGGAAGCGCUCGGGCGCGAGGCACGGGUCCUAGGCUUGACCUUCCCAGAGACCCCGCGAUCGAGGUGGGGCUCAGAGGCGGGCGCCGGGGCUAUAUGAGCUGCCCCGAGAAUGCCUCCCGCCAGAGACCUGCGGGUCCCUGGAGUCUUGUCUCUUUCUCACCUCCCGUGCUGUAAUGGAGUAAAAAUAUUCUGGAAAUGAUUCCAUACCAGCGAGUCAGCCAAGUCCAGAGGCUCCCUUUUGCUUUUAGAAGUCGGCCUUAAUCUCAGAGGGGAUGGCCGCUGGCUAAGAAGCUCCCAGGGUUUCAGGGUCCACCCUGCGCGCGCACUGCCUCUCCGAGUGCCUUGGGGGAGCGGGGCGGGAAUCGUGGACUCGUGGGCAGAGGCGGCUGGGGUGGGGCGCUGUUUGGGGGGUUAAGAUGGGAGUUGAGGCCCAAGCGAGUGUCUAUGCCUCGUUUUGAUCCAGCGGGCACAUAUCAUGUGAAUAUUUUGAAACCUGUGUUAGGAAUAGGGGUCAAAGUGCUUCUUUGGGGACCGUCUUGUUCAGGGAGGUUCUCCUGCCUCCUCACAGCCUGAACUCGCUGGGACCUGGGACCUCUCCCUCCCCAUUUCCCAGAGGGCGUUCCCAUCUCCGAGAGCGGCGCUGCCUGUGGCCAUUUCUAGUUUCUUUUUUGCUCCUCUAUACCCAGGCUCGAGCCCUGCAAUAAAGCGCUGGGGACCUCCUGGCCCCCACAUCCGCGCCCCCAAACCCCGGUUCCCAGGCUCCGUUUCCGAGAGCGCCGUGGCGCCCCCACACCGCUGAAACCGGCAGCCGCCUUUGGAAGGUGCGAACCCGGAAGGCGUUAGCCUUAGGCCUAGCCUUCGACCUCUCUGAGGUGCCACAGGAGGGCCGGUCCCUGGCCGCGUGGCUGGACCCCAGCCUCCUUCCGCCGCGCUGCACCUCCGCGGCCCCUCCUCGCGCAGCUCCGCCCUGGACCUCCGCCCUGUGGCGGGCGAGGGUCAGGGAGGAGGUGAGGUACAUCUCAGCCCUUGGCGCCUAUGGAGGCUUGCGCUCUUUUUGAGGGGUACUCCUUCCUGUAUUCUAAGAAGAGCCCCUCAGUGUUUGCUGGGGAUCCCCCAAGAGACUUCUCAGCAAAGUCCGCCCCUCAGUUCUCUGGUGACACCUCCAACAACCAGAGGACCUGAGGUUGGCGCCCCUAGGAUGGAGACUCCGCUGGGGCCUGCCAUUUGGUGGUGCCAUGCCCCCUGAGAGAGAGCAGGGAGUGAGGGGUGAAGGGGCUCACUCGAGCACCCUGGGGACGAGGAGGGUGGCUCCAGCGUGCUGGGCCACAGGGACACCCCUCUUCUCCGCCAGAGCGCUCCUGUGGGCAUACAGUAGGCACUCUGUAAAUGCUGGCUGUUGACUCAGAGCUGGCAGGUAGAGCUCCAAGUCCCCUAUCACCUCUGUUUACCCGUUCCAGAGAAGGGCGUGGCUGACACCCCCCCCCCCCCCCCCCCCCCCCGUCCCCAUCACCGAAGGGGUGGAGCCUUCUCUGGGAGGGGCAGGACCUGAGCUGUCAGUCCAUCUCUGGACACUCCCCCUGCAGCUAUUCCGUCAAACACGCCGUUUCCAGGCUGCCGGAGAGGGGACCCCUCCAGGAAUGAGCCUCACUGCGCUGGGAGGAAGAGGUGCCUGGGAGGUGGUGGAGGGGUCUCGCCUAAAGCUACCUUGCAGUGGAUUGUGUUUAGACAGAUGCCUUCACCUAGCUCUCCCCACGCCAGGGGCUUACCCCACCAGCCUUCCUGCCCCAGGGCCAUGGUGUCCCCAUCCCCGGGUCUCCUCGAGGCAUGACUAGGUAGCAGUGAGUUGCCAUGCAACAGCAAAAUAAUGACGGCAGUGAUCACAGUAGUCACAGCAGCAGCACCUGCAGCUCUGCAGCGCAGGGCCGGUUCUGCCUGCGGGCAGUUUUCUCUGCCUGGCCAGGCCUCCAGUACCCUGGGCCACAGUUGGCAGUACCAAGCAUAGCACCCGGAGGCCUUGGCACACGGCUGGGGCGGAAGUGACUGCAUCAUCACUGUCAUCAACUUCUGUGGCCCUCGCCAGGUCCCCAGGCAGAAGGCUACUGGUACACACGGUGCCCACCUGGUAGCCACCCUCAGCCCCUGGUCCCAGACCCAGCUCUGGGCUGUGCCCUUCUUCCAACAGGUGCAGCUGGUGCCUGUGGCUGGGCCCUGGCCAGGACAUUACUGUGAGAGACCCGUGGGCACACCUGCCCCUCCCUGGGCCUACCCUUGGAGCCCUGCCUCGGGCUGGCAUGGAGGAGAGUCAGGGAGGGGGCAGCUUGCUGGCGGCAGGAGGAGUGGAGGCUUGGCCGGCCAUAUGGGAGGUGCGGUGGGCAAGGGCUCAGCCCCACGGGAUGGCUGUGCCGGGAACUGGCAGCGAGCUAGGGACAGGGCAUCAGGGAGAGGCUGAAGAUGAAAGAUUGCUGGCCUGAAACUGGGCCGUGUGCAGGUUGGCCAGAGCUUCAGAGGCACCACGGGGGUGGGGGCGGGGAGGCUGGGCAGAGGCAGGUGGGUUUUCCGAGGUGCUGGGCUCAGGGCGGGACCAGAGCCCGUACUGGGCACUGGCCAAGGACCCAUCCCUCAGCCAGCUGACUUAAUUUCCUAAUGGCCUGCUAGUGUAGAGGUGGCAUUAGCUCCAUUGUGCAGAUAGGGAUUGGAGGCCCAGGGAGGCACUGGAGGCAGCAACCUGCGGGCCUCAGACCCGGAGCCCUGAUGCUUUCCCAGGGGCAGAACUGCACCUUCCCUCAUUCCACAGACACGCCGCUCAGGGGCGCUUGACUGCCAGGCUGGCUUUCUCCCUGCCUUACCACCAGGCAGGUCCCAUGCAGGACCUGGGGCCUGCAUGCCAUCCCAGCUCCUGGGAAUUCUAUCCCUAGGACCUAGUGAAGCCCUGGCAUACAGUAGGUGCUCAGUAAAUGCUCCGUGAUUCCAUGUCUGGACUGUUUCUUCCAGCCACAGAGGCCUCGCUGUGCUGGAGCUCCUCUUUUUGGACCUGCUCUACCACAGCUGUGUCCCCAGCGCCUAAGCAGUAGGUGAUGGACGUCAGGAUGCCUCCACCUCUGGCGACAGUGAGCAGCCUUGUGUGAACAUGGCUGUGGUGGUGCUGUGUGGACGCCUGUCUUCAUUUCUCCCGGGUGUACACACCUGAGCAUGUGAUCGCUGGACCACGUGGUGACACAAAUGUGCCAGCUCAUAUGGAAAAUAGGAUGGUAGGGAAACGAAGUUGGAUGUGGGGCUGAGGUGACCGCCCAGGCCGGACAUGCUCUUCCCACACCAGCUUUAGGACAUGCUCCUCUCACAGAGGGGCGACUUGGAGCCCGAGUUUGAUGUCAGGAAGGGCUUGCUGGGAAGCCCCAGAGUUUGGAGUGGGGUAGGUGCUCAGCCACCCAAGGAGCCAGAGAGCCCCACUUUGAGAAGCCUGCGGGCCCCAGAAGCAGAUGGCUACAUGGGCUCCUGCCACUCUGAAGGUUUGUCUCAUCCCCCUGCGGAGGCCAAACCAGGAAAGGGACACUGGGCAGCGGAGCUGGUGGACUCGUCCUUGGCGAGGAUGAGCCAGGCCCAGCAACUCAGUAGCCCGGAUGUCACAAGCAGUCACAAUAAAUUAGCUCUUGCUCACCCCACCGCCUCUCCUCUCCCCUCCCUGGCAGGGCCGUGCUGUGAGCCUCAGGUGAAUUUCCUCCCCCUCUUCGAGGACACCCAGGCUUCUGGGCUUCAAGGUAGCUCACCCUGCCGGAAAUCCAGGAGGAUUGCCACCAUUUCCCAGAGGCUGCUCUGUGGGCACGAAGAUCUGGGGCCCGUCCUCUGACACUUUAAGGGCUUCCACAUGCCCUUCUGUGAAAUCGGAACAAGAAUCCUCGCCCCACCACCUGCCUAGGGGCUGCACAGGGUUAAAUGAAAGCCCAGUUCCCUGAAACUGCAGGAGCCUGUCACAGCGUUGCACCUUGCUUUGCCUCAGUUUACCCAAAUACUCAGCAGGAUUGGACCCGUGGCUUCUCUGCCCUUCUGGCCUGUCACCCUGAGCCAGGAGGAGUGCACCCCACCCAGGUGGGGAGAAGGCCUGUAUGACAGGGGAGGUGAGGCCCAACCCAAGCCCAAAAUAGCACGGGAUGGCAGGAUGAUGGAGGCAGUGCCAGGCGGCAGGGUGGGUAAUUGAUUGCCUUGUGCCAGCCAUGAAUAAAACAUCGGCCUCUGCUCCAUCCGGGUUCAUUCUUUGCUGGGGGGACAGGCCUCGUUUAUUGGGGUUGCCUUUGCUUGCUUCCUCCUCCUCGGGACAAAGAAGACCCUGCCCUUGCCCCUCCCUCCUCCCUCUCCUGCUUGGCUCCCCAGUGCCCAGAGGACAAACUGAGGCUCUGGGCAAGAUGACCUGUCCGUGUCCUGUCCCAUCCAGUCAGCAGCCCUGACUUUCAUAACGCCCUGCCUUUGCCUAUGCUAUUCCAGUGCCUGGAACCCUCUCUCUCUUUCUUCCCUGAGGAAAUCCUGCACUCACCCCACAGCCCAGUGAAGAAGCUCUUUCAGGAGGCUUUGCCUGUCCUCAACACCACCCUGAGGGACACAGGGCCCCACCCACGCUGAGCGUGGUUAGUGCUGUCCCACCCCUGCAACAGCUGACCGCUGUCCUGGGGGCCCUGCUCUCCACUCCCCAUAACCACACUGCUCACUCUCAAAAGUGCAAACCCCAUUCAAUCUAUGUGGAGGUGCCAUUUUUCACCCAUCAGGUUGUCAAAGAUCGCAGAGUGGCAUGGGCAGUAACCCCAGACCCACUGAUGACUUUGGCUCACAGAUAGCCAGGUCCCUGAGCAAGGGUGCUGACUGCAGCCUGUCUGCACAACUGGGAUGCCACCAUGGUGCAUAGUGUGGGGACAUCCACGCUGUCAAAGGGGACAGAGCCAGGAAAAGGGAGGCAGCAGCUCCACUGUCCCCAUGAGACACUUCACCAGUGCAUCAGGUUUGCAAAACCCUGGGUGCAGAGCAGUGCCCACACAGGCUAGCUUUUCUGUCCAAAAUAACCACAAAAAAGGACCCAGCGACAGAGGCUCGCACACGUAAUCCCAGCACUACAAGAGGCCAAGGGAGGAUGAUAAUUGAGCCCAGGAGUUCUAGACCAGCAUGGGUAAUAGAGGAAGAUCCCAUCUCUACAAAAAAAAUUUUUUUUAACUAGCUGUGAGUGGUUGCUCAUGCCUGUAGUCCUACCAACUUAGGAGGCUGAGUCGGGAGGAUCCCUUGAGCCCAGGAGUUUGAGGCUGCAGUGAGCUGAGAUGGCACCACAGCACUCCAACCUGGGCAACAAAGUGAGACUCUGUCUCAAGAAAACCAAAACUGAAAAACAGCCAAACAAAAAAGAACCGCAAAAGAGAUAUCAGCAAUGCUGUGUGUACAGGAGCCUCCAGAGGACACACAGCCAUCGAGCACUGACCUCUGGAGAGAACUGAGAGGCUGGGGGCGCGGCGGGGAGGGACGUCCACUUCAUGCCUGGAUGGCCAUGAGCAUGGGGCCAUGCAUAGUGCCCAUGGAAAUGAAAAUAAAACCUGCCAGCCUGCUGGCCGGGGACUUGCAGUAAAGCACAGACACCAUGGACGUGAUUGUUGCUGGUGGAGGUUGAAGCCUCUGGAUGCCUCGGUGGUGCUGCUCUGGUAGCUGAGUGGAGAUGCCGGCAGCAUCCGCAUGUAGCACAUGCCCGGGGGCCUGUAGCCUGGACAGUCGUCCACCUGGAGGCACUGAUGUCAUGGAAAGGCAUCCGGGAGGGCUCUGUCCCCUUCGACACUGUGGAUGUACCCAUGCGUUAUGCACCCUGCCCCAUGGUGGCGUCCCAGUUGUACAGAUGGGCUGCAGUCAGUACCCUUGCUCAGGGACCUAGCGAUCUGUGAGCCGGAAGGAAGCCAUCGGGGGAGGUGGAGGAGAACCCUGAGGCGUGUUUCACCACGUGACAGAUGUCCCUGAAUCUGCCCGGGUGCUGGCGGAGGCUCUGGCCUCUUCUUGCUGCCUCUGUGUUUUUGAAAAUGCAUGGCUGAUGGAGUGAAGGGACUCACCCUCAGGACUGCCACCCCACCAGGCUGGGCACCCAGCAUUACCCCGUUCCAGCCCCGGGCUGCAUGUGUGUGUGUCUGGGCGUUCUGUGUUAGCACGUCUGUGUGUGUCCUGUAUCUAUGCAGGUAUAGGUAUGCAUGUCUCUAUUAUCUGUAUUUGUGUAUCCAUGAAUGUGUGUGUGUGUCUGUGCAGAUGUGCCUAUGUGUGUGUGCAUGUGUCUGUGUGAUUGUGUCCCCGUGUCUGUAUGUGAUCAUGUGUGUCAUGUAUGCACACAUGUCCGUGUCUGUGUACCUAUGUGUGACUGUAUGUGACCCUGUGCAUCUGUGCUGUGCACGCCCUGGUGUCUGUGUGCACGUUUGUGUAUCUGUGCAUGGCUGUGUCUGUGCCCCUGUGCACCCUGGUGUAGCUGGGUCCAUGUCUAGCUGUGUAAGAGGCCCCAGCAGGGGAGGCUGGGCUCUCCCACAGGCCCUGAUGAAAGUCAAGUCCGUAAGCAAACCUGAGCUCCAAACCCCUGGUCCUAGGAACAGACUGGACUCGGGAGUAAGUCACGCCGGAGUGACUGUGAGGUCCCCGAGCCUGUGGGAACAAGAAUGAAGAGGAGUCCUGGGUUUGGGGUCCAGGCCCCCGCUAGCCAGUACUGAGAGGGAAAGAGAGUGAUCACGGCAGCCCUGUUGACUGGGCUGAUCCCCUGGCCCAGAGACUGCAGGCGGGGGGUCUUCCUCUUGGCCUCCAGGGCUGCUACGUGAUGCUCAGGGCUAGGGGUAGGGACAGACCCUUCAUGACACGCUGGAGCUGCCUGACUGGCCCUGGCUGUGCCUGCUACAGAAGUGUUAUCUAGCGACAGCAUGAGAUGUGACAUCACUGAGGCCUCCUCAAAGCUGAGUCUGUUACCGUGGAAGAAGCCCAUCAGUCUUCCUCCUCAGGAAGCUCACGAUUCCGGCAAGGAAAGAGGCCCAUAGCCAGACCACUGCGACCUGCGCAGUCAGGACACGGCCAGGAAGCCCUCAGGUCUCUCCAACAGCGAGAACUGCAUCUAGGGAACUGGUCACGCCGUGAUAAAGGCUCUGAGACCUAAACGGGAUGGGGAGGAAUCCCAGACUGGAGUCAGCAUGAAGCCGCCAUCCCAGUCUGGAGGCAGGGAGGAAAGCAGUGGGGUCGCCAGUCCCAGGGGCUGUCAUCAUGCGAAGGGAGAGCUGGAGCCUCGCCAGGGGUGUCUGGAGCCAACGUGGGGAUGUGGCUGCUGCCAAGGAAGCCAUCCAAGGAGAGACGUGCCCCCUUCCCCCACCACCACCAAAUGCAGGAGCCUGAGAGCAAAGGAUGCUGGGAAGUGACCUGAGGGGUCAGAGCAGGGGGCCCACCUGGCAGGCUCAGACGGGGGAGCACAGCUAGGCCUGCCCAAGCCCUGGCCCACCGCGCAUCCUAGCAGGGGCCUGGUCUACAUCAGGUGCUCAAAAGCAGACGUCACAGAGUCUGGAUGCAGGGCGGGAGAUCAGCCAGGGGGCUGGGGCCCCAGGUGGGAAGAAGGAAGGGAUGGACACUGGGUGCAUCCGAGCUGAGACCUCAGGGGCCCUGAAUGCCACCUUGGGUUUGGCUGAAACCUGAGGGCUGGCAUGUCCCGAAACAUUCUCUGUCUUACCAUCAAGGCCCCUGACUGCUCUUGUUUCUGUCCUGAGCUAGGCAGCCCAGUGUUCAUUUCUCUCAUUCUCCAGACAAGAAAACAGGCACAGAGGUGUGGAGGACCUUGACCAAGUGAAAAAGUGACCUGCCCGAGACUUUAAUGAGGGGCAGCCCAGCCCAGCAAGGCCCAUCCACCCCCGACUUUCCGGAGGUGGAAAGAUUGCUGCAAACUGCCAGCGAUGGGUGAUUACCAGGAGCACCUUGUCAAGACCGUUCGGUGACCUUUCAGUCCUGCCUUGUUGGGUGGCAGCCUGGCUUCAAUCACCAAUGUUUUUCUCCAGGCUGAAGAUAAAGAAGCAGAAACCUGGCCCAGUGCAGUGGCUCACACCUGUAAUCCCAGCACUUUGGGAGGCCAAGGCGGGCAGAUCAUGAGGUCAGGAGAUCGAGACCAUCCCAGUCAACAUGGUGAAACCCUGUCUCUACUAAAAAUACAAAAAUCAGCCAGGCGUGGUGGCGCACACCUGUAGUCCCAGCUACUCAGAAGGCUGAGGCGGGAGAAUGGCUUGAACCUGGGAGGCAGAGGUUGCCGUGAGCUGAGAUCACACCAUUGCACUCCAGCCUGGGCAACAAGAAUGAAAUUCCGUCUCAAAAAAAAAAAAAAAGAAGCAGAAACCUGUGAUGACACAGGUGCCAUCUGUGCACUGUCCACAUCCUCCUGCCAGGGCCACGUGCCCAGGUCCUCGCAGGACUCAAGCAAGAGGGUGGAGGAGGAGAGGCAAGUGGGGAGGAAUUGCAGGCUGAAGGGGUGGACGCUCCUGACUCUAGGUCUCACUUCCUUAAGAAGGGCUGGAAAUUGGGACAUUUUAUGGAAACAAAUUUCAGAUUUGAAAAUGCUGGCCCCUAGUUGGCAGGUUUAAAGUAGAUAGAACAAAUCCAUGGAAGCCAAGCUGAGUGUCUGCAGUAGGGGCCAAGCCUGUGAGCUCUGCUGGCUCUGAAGCAACUUUUUCAAGUGCUAAGCGCACGCUGACCAUAGGACCUUUGCACUGCUGCUCCCUGCCCGGAAAGCUCUUCCUGCUGGCGUCUCGUGGCUCACUCCCACACUGUCUUCAGGCAUCUGCUCAAAUGCUGUCUCCUCCAAGAGGCCUUCCCUGACCUUUUCCUUCCCAUUUUGUGGGUUGAUUUUUCUUCCCAGUGCUCACUUCCACCUGACAUCUCAGUGUCAUCCAGCUCCUGAUGAGACCAUCAUCUCCGUCGUGAGGGCAGGGUUCCCGGCUUAGGCCUCCCUGGAUGCACGGGGCCUGCCCAGCUCAGAGCACUCAGUCAGCAUUUAAUGAAUCUGUGGUUUAGCACUUCAGGACCCCUGGGGCAUGGACACAGGGACACAGGGCGCCCAGGACCACACGUGUCACAGACAUGAUGUCUGAAAGAGGGGCCAGCUGAGUGAGUUUCCACCCCUUCCCACCCCACAGACUUGCUGAGAACUUUGGGAAGGCCCAACCCCACUGGAGGCCUCAAUUUCCCCACCUGUGCAAUGAAGGGGUGAUAUGUGCCACAGUCUUGGGGGCACAUGUGGGGUCCCAAGGCAGCCAUCAUUGCCAGCUGCCUCAGCCAAGCAGAGGGACAGAUGGAUUGACCAGCUCCGUAUUGAUCACAUGGUCACACCUGCUCUGGAGGGGGCAGGAGGGGUGGGAAGUGGAGUGGAGCCAGGGCCUCUGGAGGAAUGAAGAGAAAAUGACACCCCCCAUCAAUGCCUGGGGCUGGCAGGCGGGAGGGGCAUGAUAGUCCAUCUGCGGGUUUCUUUCCCUGUCUCCUAGGGGUUCAGAGAGGCUCAGGUGAGCUUCAGGGGAGCCAGGCAGGGGCAAGUUCUGAACACGGCAAAGAGCCCACCCCAGCACACCCUGAGGAGGCCAUCCCAGGGCUUCCGUGUCUGUAAGUCUGGAGCAGCUGAGGCUGGGGGCUAAGGCAGAGGAGCUUGGGGUGGGAAGUGGGGAAAGUCCCUGUCCACCCAAGCCACGUUACUUAGAUGCCACUCACCGAGGCUGGAAGUGUAUGCCAGGCUGGUAUUCUGCUGCAGAGCUCACUUGAGACUUGUUUUCACACAAAAGCCCCAACGUCCUGCCCUGGAUCUGCCAGGAAAGCCAGUGCCCAGGAGAUGAGAUGCUGAGAAUGUGGCCAGCUCUCUCCAGGAGCGAUAGCCCCGUGUGGGACAUGCAGCAACAUCACAAAGACCUAGGACCUAGGGGUCUUGGGAUGGGAGCAGGGCUGAGGCUAAAUCCCAGUUCCACUCCAACUUAUGGGGCAAAACUCUUUUCCUCUGAGGACCUCAAUUUCCCCAUCUGGAACCUGUCCCUCAGAGUCCUGGAGCUCCUGGGUUUUAGGGAGGAAGGGGCAGAAAACAACCUUGGAGUGGACUGAUAGGCAGGUCGGGGGCCCAGAGGGAAGAUGCAGACAGGACGAGACCAUGAGGACUGUUGUCAAGGCCUUGGCCGGCAGGAAGACAAGCCCUUAAACACAGGGACUGCAACUCAGCCAUUACGCUGCUGGGUCCCUGCCCCACAGCAUCGGAACAGGUGCUCAGACAAAGCUUGUACAUGAAUGCGGAUAACAACGCUGUUCACAGCAGCCAAGAGGUGGAGACAGCCCUGAGCCCGUCCACAGAUGAAUGAACACGCAAGUGUGUCUGCACAAUGAACCCGCUCAUCCAUGACAUGAAGAGCGUGGCGUUCCGGCACUGGUACAGCAUGCAAAGACCUGGAGGACACAGAAGGACAGAUGCUUAGGGUUCCAUUCACAUGAAAUGCCCAGAAGUGGCAAACCCAUACAGACUGAAAGCAGAUCAGAGGCUCCUGCGGGCUCAGGGGAGGGUGCGUGGGGAGUGACCGCUCCGUGUUUUCACGGGGUCUUCUUCUGGAGCAAUGGGAAUGUUCUGGAACUAGAGUGGCGAUGAUUGCACAACAUCGUGAGUGGAAUGCCACUUAAUCUGUAUGCUUUAAGGAGGACAAUUUGCCGGGCGCGGUGGCUCAAGCCUGUAAUCCCAGCAGUUGGGAGGCUGAGGUGGGUGGAUCACGAGGUCAAGAGAUCAAGAGAUUGAGACUGUCCUGGUCAACAUGGUGAAACCCUGUCUCUACUAAAACUACAAAAAAUUAGCUGGGCAUGGUGGCGCUUGCCUGUAAUCCCAGCUACUCAGGAGACUGAGGCAGGAGAAUUGCCUGCACCCAGAGGCAGAGGUUGCAGUGAGCCAAGAUUGAGCCAUUGCACUCCAGGCUGAGUAACAAGAGCGAAACUCCGUCUCAAAAAAAAAAAAAAAAAAGGAGGGCAAUUUUACCUUAUGUGAAUUUUACCUCAGUAAAAACGGGGGAACCCUCCACCAGGGACACAGCAGCCCACGCAGAGACAUGGCAGAGAGUCGGGGCUCUGGAUCUGGCCCUGCCGGGGUUGGGGGGGAGGAGGACACCCAAGCUGCUGGGGCUGCUGUGAGGGAGGAGCGCAGAGCACGGGGCCCAGGGCAAGGGAAACAUUUGCUGUGUUUGUCACCCUCCCCAGACCAUGCUUCUGCAGGGCAGCCCAGGCGGCUCAGGCUGGCUGUCCUGUCUGGGGAGGCGCCGGGCCGACCCAGGCCACACCUGGGGCCACAGCCUUCACAGUGGCCAGGAGCUGAGCCAGAGUGGGGAGUCAGGUAGGUGGGAUUGGCCCUUCGCCCGUGACUAGCUCAUGUCUCCUCCCUGGGCCUCACCCACCUCUGAGAAGGGGAUAGAGACCAGUCCUCUGGGAAGCUUCUAGUGCCAGAAUCUUUCUGCAUCUGGAGUCCGCAGGGAAGAGGAUCCAUCAAUCAAUCUGUUGAUCUACCCACAGGACCAAUGGAGGCAGGAUGCCAUAUUGGGUAAACAGUGGUGAGCAAGCUGACAGACGGGUUCAAAUCCCAGCUCCUCCACCUCCCAGCCCUCCACCCUCAGGCCCCAGCUGCCCUAGCCAGGCUUUCUGGGCCUCAGUUUACCCACCUGUAAAAUUCAGGUAAUAAUCACCAAUACCCCUUAGGGUAUUGUGAAGAGGGAACGAGUCUGUGGGAACAGCGCCUGGCUUGUGGCGUGGGCUCUGGAGGUGGGGACCGAUGUCCUGUCUAAUUCUCACUGUUGAGAAGGAGAACAAACUGCUGUCCAGCUAAGGGGAGAAAGGAGCCCUGCCCAGAACCAGCCAGAAUGAGGAGAGACUGCAUGGGCUCAUGCCACCAGCUCUGCCCCCUCCUAAGAACCUGUGCCGAGCUGUCCCCAGAGUGGACACUAGAGGAGAGGCCAGGAGAGGGGGACUUGGGAGAGGACCGAGGAAGUGCCCCCCACUCACUCGCACACUCACAAACUCACACACUCAGAGUCACACACACUCAUAGUUACACUCAGUCACACACAGACAGAAUCACAGUCACAUACACAGUCACAGUUACACACACAACCUCACAUAGACACAGAGUCACACACUCAUACAAAGAAUCACAGUCACAGAGUCACACACCCUCACAGUUACAUUCAGUUACACACUGAGUUACACAGUUAUACACACACACUCAGAGUAACACACUUAAACAGAGAAUCACACAGUCACACAGUUACACACUCCCUCACAGUUACACUCAGAGUUACACACACACAGUCACACCCUCACACAGAGACAGAGAAUCACACAUAGUCACAUACAGUCACAGUUACUCACACUCACACCCUCAAAUGGAGUCACACACAGUUACAUACACCUUCACAGUCACAGUUACACAGUCACACAGACGCAGAAUCACACACAGAGAGUCACAUACAGUUAUACACACAGUUACACAGUCACACACUUACUUGCACCCGCAGAGGAAGAUCGCUGAGUGGGGGGGGUGCGCUGGCCACGCGCGGGGGCAGCCACACUUUAUGAAUUUUGCAUCACCUUGGCCAUGAAUAGCUUCCUCUGCAGCGAAACAGACAGUUCAAAGGGAGGAAAAAGGCCCGAGUGGGGAGAAGGAGGGUGAGAUGCACCCCAAAUCCCUAACUCAGCUCAGGAGGACAGCAGGGUGAGGCAAGGACGCAGAGGGUGGGCAGGGUUUCCCACUCUCAUAGGGAUGCAUGUGUUUCCAGAGGCGGCAGGUGAGGCUGCGAGGGGUCUCCCGCAGGGCCCUGGCAACCCUGUUGUGCUUCCAAGAUGAGGCCAGAAGGACGCAGUGGGGACAAGAGGGUGUCCGGGAGCCUGGGCAGCACGUGGGCCACCUGCUCACGUGCUUCGAGGCCAUUUCUUAGAUGAGCAUACUGAGGCCUGGGAAGAUCACUGUCCCAUUAGGGACCGUGCACUGCAUCCUGGGCCAGGGGAGAAUGCAGAUGGGCCGGGGUAGGGAGGCCGCAGGGAGCCAGGCUCAGCAGGCAUGGGGAGGGGCGGGGCUCAGCAUGCAUGGCCAGGCUGAAGGUGUCAUGGGGACCUCUGCAGCCUCUGGCUGGGGAACCUGGCUUCCAACCCCAUCUCUACCCCUUCCUGCCUGGGCAGCCCUGGGCAAGACACGUCACAUCUCUGUUCCUGUUUCCCCAGUAACUAACUCAUAAUAAUGCAAGCACCCCGCUUACCAGGUGGUGGACAAGGUGCAGCCUCAGGGUCCCUGCUGCUCACCAGCUGUGGAAAUGUGCUUCCCAGCUCAGUUUUCCGAUCUGCAGAAUGGGCUGCUGCUGCUGUUCUCUGCCCCAACGAUGAGGCAUAAAGCAUUGAGAAUGAGCCCUGCACAGUGUGAGGGCCACGUGAGCUUUGUCAGCGCUGCCAGCUUCUUGGCCAGUGACGCCCAUAAACAGAGAGUCCCUGCUAGGCAACCCCCACCUGCCACCAAGGGGGCACCCCUAAAGAUUCGAGCCAUAUGCCUCGUCCUGCCAGGCUGCCAGCCCUGGCUGAGGCCCACACAAUGGGCGACCAGACCAGGGAGCUGAGUGAGGGAUUCCAGGUGGGUGUGUGGAUGGAUGCCGGGCAGUCAGUCAUGUUAGCCUGGCUGCCCUCUCUGGCCAGGCUGGGGUGAGUGGGUCUCUCCUCAAGGCCAUCUUGUGUAAACUAUGGGGAUGUCCCAGCUGCCCACUAGCUCUCCAGAGACCCAGUGCCGGCACACAGCCCCGAGGCCCCAGCGUCGUGGUGCCAGCGGCUGCACUGGGCACCUGCCGCAUGUGGGCUGUCUCCUAAGUGCUUCGUGUGCAUUUGCUCCAUUAAUCUCCAAAGCUAUCCCCUGGGGCAGGUGCUGUUAGCAUCUCCACUUUACAGAGAGAGAAACAGAGGCCCAGGGAGCUAAGGGAACAUGCACGGGACACGGGACCCCACCCACAUCACUCCGGCCUCUGUGGAACCCGGCAUUUCUGAUCCCGGCUCUUCUAUUCCCGUGCUGGGACAUCAGGGUGGGUCCUUUCCUCUCCCUGGCCUUGGUUUCCCUAGCGGUGAAGGGUCCCAGUGCACAGAAUCUAAUCCCUGGCCCCUCUACUUGCUGGCCAGAAGGUGAGUCCUUCACCCUCUCUGUGCUUCUGUUUCCUCCCCUGUAAAAUGGGAAUGGGAACAGCCCUUGCCUCCCAGGAGUGAGCUCCUAGGGCAGUGUGUGCGCUUAGUAAGUGUUCAGGAAGUGGCAGCCACGCUGUUACUAUUGCUGCUGCUACUGCUUUGAAGUGAGUACUCCCUGAGACCCCUGACCAGAGGAUGGGGGUGUCCAAACAUCCAGGGACCCAGAGAGGCCCAGGAGGUGGCCUGUGUCCAGGGCCUGAGGCAGCUGCAGGAACUCACAGCCUCUUGAAGUGGGCAGAGCUGCGACCCUCCCUCUUCUUCCCCACAGCCUCCCACCUGCCAGGCCUACCUCCACGGCAUCUCUGCUCUUCCCUCUGGCCACGUCAGAAGGGACCACAAGGAAGCAAAGAUUCAGAGAGUGAACUUUCCCACAGGGACCAUCCCUAAGGUGCCCACACUGGCAUCUUGCAGCGCCGCUCCCCUGCAGGGCCUGGAAUCCAGAGGGUUCCCAGCACAGCCAGGGUUCCCAGCACAGCAGCUAAGAGCCAGGACUCUUCAGAGUCCCAACUGCUAUGACCCAUUCCUGGCCUUGUCACCUACCUGCUCUGUGACCUUGGGCAGGUUGCUUUGCCUCUCUGUGUCCCAAUUUCCACAUCUCCAAGAUGGUAGGUGAUAGCAGCCCUAGAGGAGGUGGUUGUGAAGAUUCAGGGCCAUGACACAGACAAAGCAGUUAGCCUGGUACCCACUGGGCUUGAUGUCCCAGCUCCUGAGGCUGCCAGCUGGUGAAGACAGCAGGACUGCUGGCGUCGGACAUUCCCUGGGCCACAGCUUUACUGACUGUGUGAACUCAGGCAAUCCACUUCACCUUUCUGUGCCUCAGUUUCCUCAUCUGCAAAACAGGCCUAACAACACCUAUCUUGGGACAUGAUGAGGAUUCAAAGAGGAGAUUAGCCCAGGAGAGCGCCUGGUGAACAGUGCUGUUCCUGCAAUGGCUGCUGCUGCCAUUGUCACCCCCGCCAUCCAGGAGACAUCCACAGCAUCUGUGGCUUUCUCUGGGGCUGGCCUGGAAGACACUGGAGACUUCCCCUCCAGGUGACAAGGAGCAGCUGAAGGAUGCAUCUCCUUUGUUGCCUUCCCAGCAACACUGACAUGCGACAAACACGUCAAAAGGGAAAGGAAGGUCGUGAGCCCUGGGCAGCCAAGCCAGGGCAGAGCAGGCACCGGGGGACAAGUGGUUCCCGCAAGAUGGAGUCUCACUCUUGUCACCCAGGCUGGAGCACAGUGGCGCGAUCUCGGCUCACAGCAACCUCCGCCUUCUGGUUUCAGCAAUUCUCCUGCCUCAGCCUCCUAACCCCAUUUCGCAGGGAGAAGAUUGGGUUUUCAAGAGAGCAGAACUCAAGGCCUCAUCUCCAUCAGGGGCUGCAGCAGUGAAUUAAAAGUGCACACCCAGAGGAUGAGUAGCUGUGACCGCUUCUGCCAGCACUUUCGGCUGCAUCAUUAAUAAAGACAUAUUGUUGCAGAUGAAGCUCAGACCACAGCUCCUGAAACGCUUGGAAUCUCCAAAGUGAUAUCUUUUUGCAUGUGAAUGAUUCACAGAGGGCUGGCAGCCGCUGGGUAGCUUCAGGAUGGGACAGGUCAAUGGAAAGACCAAGGCAGGAUCCAUCCUGGGGAGAGGAGAGAGACGCGGUUAAGUUGCUCACCGGUGACACUGCAGUCAUUUCAUCAAUCAUAUCUCCAUAAUGAAGCCUCCAUAAAAACACAAACGGACAGGUUCUGGGAGCUGAAUACAUGAAGGUUCCUGGAGGGCAGUGCCCCCCAGGAGGGGCAGGGAAGCUCCCCACCGCUUCCCCAUCACUUACCCUGUGCAUCACUUCAGCUGUAACCUUUUUCGUAUCUCUUGCAAUAAACCAGCAAAUAUA